AGACUUCGCGGACGCCGGUAAUUAUCGAUUGUCAGGGCUUUAAUGUCCUUUGACAUCCCAGCUUUACUUCUUUAAGGGCUUUUACGUCUUAAUGAGGACUUUUGGAUUUUUGUUCUGCGUGGGGAAUAAUCGUUCGCUUCACUCAUUCUUUAACAAACUCAAUGAUCCUUCUCCCUGUUGCACAAGUCCUCAUGGCAGAGAUUCUGAAGUGGUACUACCCGUCGCACGUGGAGCUGCACAACUAUGUGUCGGCAAGCAGCUUGCACGCAAAGAAGGAGAACUGGAGCACGCUGAACUGGAAGGUGUUUGCAAGGCUCAACAUGAGACUGAGCAAGGGCAUGAUUCAUCAUUUGGCGAGCGCGUCGCAAGGCACGAUCGAGAGGCUCCUGUGGCAGCUGAGAAUAAAGAUUCUGGGAAACGGAGAAGAUGUGCACAGGUCGAGGUUGAAGUGCAGCACGGAGAAGGAGGACGAUGACGUAAAAACGUCAAAGGAGAAAGCUGGGGACGACUCGCCAGGCAAGGAUGGCCGGCUUGAUUCGUCAGGAGAGAUCACAAAUGAGCCUGACACUCAUGCCAAGAGUCACGAACCCAAUCCGUCGAAAUUCGCGCGUUUCAAGCGGAAAAUCUUUAUCGUUGUUGGUUGGCUCGUCCGCUUCUCUCUCGUAUGGAGUGUCCUUGCUUACUGCAGACUUCGUCUCUUCGGCAAACGUGACGCGCUUGUGGCAGACGCGACAGCGAAGCAAGUUGAAAACGUAAUCGAGGAGACCGUACCGCGCACGGUCUACGCGGACCUGAAGCAGGAGCUGCGCGAGAAGGAAGAACUGACACGCUCUCUGAACCACAAGAUUGCGUACUUGGAAAGCUCGAUGAAGCUGAAGGACUUGCGUAUCUCUACCUUGUCCGAGCAGAUUCCGCAAAAUGCUGUCGAGAUGGACCAAUUGAUGAAGCCGCGGCCCAGUGACAGCGCUCGCUCGAAAUUACGCGUCUUGCGAUCGCAGAAUUUUCAUGAGACUAAAACGAAUUAGAGAUUGUAGCAGUGCGACAAAUUGUGUUUGUUUAAAAAACGUCACUUAUAUCGUUCGUAUUGUUUUUUUUAUCUAUGUCGCAAUCAAUAGUCUUUUUUUCCAAUCUAAAUAAGGGCAUGUAGAAAUUAAAAAUCAAAUUUUAUGCAUUUCAAACCAAUUAACAAUUUUUUCAGGUAAAUUAACAUUAUCAUCUGCUUAAUCAAAUUUUUUAUACGAUAUUUGAUAUAUCUGUUUGUUUUUUACGAAUUGAAUAUUGCAAAAUCAUGAUAGUGGAUAAUUAAUUUUUUAGUUAAAAGAAGCUUUCAUGGCAUAAUAUCAUGAGACAUCAACAAAUUUGAAUUCUUUUUCUCAUAUUCUUCGUAUAAAACUUCAUAUGAUAUUGGUAAAAUUGUCGUGUGCUCGAGGCUACUUUUUUAUCCUUCUUGUUCUUCGUUGCGCAAAAAGUGGGGAGAAUGUUGCCCGGUCACUUAUCCUGAGGACCUGGAAAGAGAGUUGUACAUCAGUAGUGCACCAGCGCUUGGGUCGUAAAGAUACAUGAAUUACCGGAGAGCUUGAAUGAGGAUUCUUAUUACACUCGUAUGAGAUUGUAAAAGAAACGAGUAACAGCAAUAUCGUAGUGCGCAAAUUGGAUUUGUCAUCGUUGCAAUCGAUCAGAGAGUUUGCGCGGC